rnacentral:rRNA from 1 species
GACAGAGGGUGCAAACGUUGUUCGGAAUUACUGGGCGUAAAGCGCGUGUAGGCAGUUUCGCAAGUCGGGUGUGAAAGCCCUGGGCUCAACCUAGGAAGUGCACUCGAAACUGCGAGACUUGAGUCCUGGAGAGGAAGGCGGAAUUCUCGGUGUAGAGGUGAAAUUCGUAGAUAUCGAGAGGAACACCAGUGGCGAAGGCGAACUAC